rnacentral:tRNA from 3 species
GCGCCCGUAGCUCAAUGGAUAGAGCAUCGGUCUUCUAAACCGAGUGUUGACAGUUCGAUCCUGUCCGGGCGCACCA